CCUGUACCUGGUUGUGUUAGAUAUGUCUGUUGUCAACAUUCAUCAUACAUAAACCACACAUAUACAUGCAUAUUCUCAACAUUCAGAUAUUCAUGUUGCAUUCUUUGCCAUAUAUAUUUGUUUGUUAUCUCCUUCUAUUUGGUGAUAUAUUUUUCCCCAAACAGAUGUUUGUGUCUGAUCUCUCCAUAUAGAGUCAGCUCCCAUAGGCAGAAAGUGUCUAUCCUUUCUUCCAUAUUCCCCACUGAGUUAUAUCCUCGUGGAUGAUUGUUAUUUCAAUUUCCUCCCAAAAUAUGUACUGGGAUGGAAUUUCUCCCCUAAGUUAUAUCCUCAUAGGAUUGAGUCUUGUUCCAUUGUGUCUCUCUAGUUUGUUCCUAGAUUGAUUUCC
rnacentral:lncRNA from 1 species